AGGGCACCACCAGGAGUGGAGCCUGCGGCUUAAUUUGACUCAACACGGGAAAACUCACCUGGCCCGGACACCGUGAGGAUUGACAGAUUGAGAGCUCUUUCUUGAUUCGGUGGUUGGUGGUGCAUGGCCGUUCUUAGUUGGUGGAGUGAUUUGUCUGGUUUAUUCCGAUAACGAACGAGACUCUAGCCUACUAAAUAGACUAUGGUUCCUUUGUGACGGAAGAACUUCUUAAAGGGACAGGGGGGGACUCACCCGCACGAAACAGAGCAAUAACAGGUCUGAGAUGCCCUUAGAUGUCCGGGGGCGCACGCGCGCUACUGUGAAAUGAUCAGCGUGGAUUAAUAAGCCUCUCCGUCAGGAGUGGGUAACCCAUUGAACCUUCUUCGUGAUUGGGAUAGGGUAUUGAAAUUCUUAGCCUUGAACGAGGAAUUCCCAGGAGACGCGAGUCAUAAGCUUGCGUUGAUUACUGCCCUGCCCUUUGUACACACCGCCCGGCGCUACUACGAAUUGAAUGAUUUA
rnacentral:rRNA from 1 species